UACGGGGGGGGCAAGCGUUGUUCGGAAUUACUGGGCGUAAAGCGCACGUAGGCGGAUUUGUAAGUCAGGGGUGAAAUCCCGGGGCUCAACCUCGGAACUGCCUUUGAUACUGCAAGUCUCGAGUCCGAUAGAGGUGAGUGGAAUUCCUAGUGUAGAGGUGAAAUUCGUAGAUAUUAGGAAGAACACCAGUGGCGAAGGCGGCUCACUGGUCCGGUACUGACGCUGAGGUGCGAAAGCGUGGGGAGCAAACAGG
rnacentral:rRNA from 1 species